rnacentral:rRNA from 1 species
GACGAACGCUGGCGGCGUGCUUAACACAUGCAAGUCGAACGGAAAGGCCCUGCUUGCAGGGUACUCGAGUGGCGAACGGGUGAGUAACACGUGGGUGAUCUGCCCUGCACUUCGGGAUAAGCCUGGGAAACUGGGUCUAAUACCGGAUAGGAGCCAUUUUUAGUGUGAUGGUUGGAAAGUUUUUUCGGUGUAGGAUGAGCUCGCGGCCUAUCAGCUUGUUGGUGGGGUAAUGGCCUACCAAGGCGGCGACGGGUAGCCGGCCUGAGAGGGUGGACGGCCACAUUGGGACUGAGAUACGGCCCAGACUCCGACGGGAGGCAGAAGUGGGGAAUAUUGCACAAGGGGCGCAAGCCUGAUGCAGCGACGCCGCGUGGGGGAUGACGGCCUUCGGGUUGUAAACUCCGUUCGCUAGGGACGAAGCUUUUUGUGACGGUACCUAGAUAAGAAGCACCGGCUAACUACGUG